rnacentral:lncRNA from 1 species
UCUCUCUCUCUCUCUCUCUCUCUCUCUCUCUCUGCUCAUUUUUGUGGUCUUGAUGGCAUGACUUGUCAGGGUCUAGGCCUUGCCCUUGGAAAAAGGUACGCCCAUUUGAGCCAUUAAAAAGCCAAAGCAGAUUCCAUGCAUCAUUUAUCAAGUCCCACCCAGUAAGUUUUAUCUACAUGCUGCCAAGUCAAAGCAGGACCGCAGAAUACGACUCCUAAUCUGACACUAUCUGAUUUCGCGUCGGAACGACUCAGCCUUUACCUGCCCAUAGGUCGACCCUUGGACUCAAUUAUAAUCACUCUCUUGGACCUGUUGUCUCCUCUCCUUUCUUGCCUAACCAA